rnacentral:rRNA from 1 species
AUUCCAGCUCUGUAAGCGUAUACCAAAGUUGUUGCAGUUAAAACGCUCGUAGUCGGACGUUGGCGGGCGCCGCUAGUCGGCCUCACGGUCGAUCUUGUUGGCGACCGCCUUUGUGGAGGGGGGCUUGGGUGGUGCUUUGUUGUCAUCCCUUUGUCGCUGCCACCGUUUACUGUGAAAAAAUUAGAGUGUUCAAAGCGGGCGUUUGCCAUGAAUACAUUAGCAUGGAAUAAUAGAAUAGGACCUGGUCCUGUUUUGUUGGUUUGUGAGUAUCAGGUAAUGAUUAAGAGGGACGGUUGGGGGCAUUUGUAUUCCGGCGUCAGAGGUGAAAUUCUUGGAUUGCCGGAAGACAAACAGCUGCGAAAGCGUCUGCCAAGGACGUUUUCAUCA